GUGAGUCAUCGAAUCUUUGAACGCACAUUGCGCCCGCCAGCAUUCUGGCGGGCAUGCCUGUUCGAGCGUCAUUACAACCCUCGACUUCCCUAGGGAAGUCGGCGUUGGGGACCGGCAGCACACCGCCGGCCCUGAAAUGGAGUGGCGGCCCGUCCGCGGCGACCUCUGCGUAGUAAACCAACUCGCACCGGAACCCCGACGUGGCCACGCCGUAAAACACCCAACUUCUAAACGUUGACCUCGAAUCAGGUAGGACUACCCGCUGAACUUAAGCAUAUCAAUAAGCGGAGGA
rnacentral:misc_RNA from 1 species